GUGAUAAGAUUUGGCAACACACAUACUAACAUAGGAAUGGUACAGAGAAGAUUAGCAUGGCCCCUGAGCAUGGAUGGCAUGCAAAUUCAUGAAGUGUUCCAUAUUUUU
ensembl:snRNA U6 U6 spliceosomal RNA